rnacentral:lncRNA from 1 species
UUGGAGAACGUUGACCCAAUAAUCUCCCAGGGCUCUGGUUCCCAAUCUUUGCAUACUGUUAUGCAAAGAUUGUACACAAAGUGAAGCAUGCCAUUGGCGUGGAGGAUGUGCCUGCUACUCACAAGCACAAUUCAGCAGACAUAGGCAGAUUUACUCUGGGAUAUUGACAGAACACCUCAUGACUGGUCAAAAAAGUGAAAGGG